UGCGCCUCCUCCCGGCGCCGCGCGGCCGGACCGCCGGCCUCCUCUUCAUCCUCCCGCGUCCUCCCGAGCUCGCGCCGCCGCCACUGGAGCCCGCAUCCUCCGCCUGCCGCCGCCGCCGCCGCCGCGACCCCGCACCGGGAACCGAGCCGGUGCGGAAAACCGCAAGGCGCGCGCGCCCCCUCCCCAGACCGCGGCGCCGAUCCCCGGACGCGCGGCCCCCCCACCCGCGGCUCCGCGCACCUCGCCCUGACACCACCCUCCGCGGCCCCCUCCCGACCCUCCUGUCCCCAGGACUCCCCUCGGGUCCUCCCUUAGGAAAGGGGCCCCUCGCCAAGUCUCCGCCUUCCUGUCCUCCCCCUGUCAAUGUCGCUGUCCAGCUCCUGCCGCCUUAGGAAUGCCACUCCACCUGGGCCUCCUUCUCCAGGGACCCCCCCUGGGCCCCACCCCCGGGACCUCCCACCUCUGGAAGCCCUGCGUUUGCUUUCCCCAAUCCACUCGGCGGAGGCUCGUCUCCACGCCCACCUGACUGGACCCGGAAGCUCGAAGAAGUUAGCAGGGGGUUUCAGCGACAGGGCAGGAGGAGCAGAAUUUGAAACAGCAUCCUACCGGUCCUGCGCCUGGUGAAUGAUGACUCGCCAGAAAGCAAAGACGCAACCCUGCUUGGCUCGUGGCCCAGGAGGCUCCGCGAGCCUGCGUAAGGAUCGUGGCGCCCACGCUUGAGAGCAGAGCUCAGUGCAAACUUCCACUGGUUCUUCCAGUUUCCAGGGAAACGAGAUUUGGAGCUGCUGCGAGUUGCAGAGCUGCCCCUUUGCUCCCCCCCCCAUGGGAGCCCUGCGAAUGUCUGGGCUUGGGGAGAACGGGGCUGAGGACACCUUCUCCAUGAAGAAUGAGCUCCGACCUUAUGGUGGAAGAAUUGAGCAGGGCUAUGGAGAUUUCUUCUAACGUCAGAGGACUCACAGGAAGCAGUCUGUUCUGGGUUGCUUCUCCUCUAGAUGGGCACUGCCAGCUCUUUAACAAUCUUUACAUUUCUUAAAAUCACCACAGGACCCUUGUACAUGACGUUCCCACUCCUUAGGGUAUAGCCACACUCCACGGUGAUCCUCACCUGGCAUUGCUUCGUCAUUUCUCAAAAUGUGUUGUCAUUUCCUGGUUGCCUCAGUUUUGUCUGAAGCCUGUCUGUACCAAAAGCCUUCAAGAACUUUCUUGUAUUCACUCCUCACAACAAGCGGUGUUCCCUGUUAUCUCCAGACGGGCUUUCCAUGAGCAAAAUCAGCAACUGCUGGAAUUGGGCUCUGUGCACAGGCUAUGCUCCUCCGGCUGCCUUCUAGACUCCAGCCCCUGCAGCGGAUCCCCAUAGUACAGGACUUCCCUGUAGUACACAUAUGUGUUCCCUCUCAGGUGGGUAAGGGAGGCUCCACCUGCGCCUUGGGCUGGCUGUUUGAGCAUGUGUGUGUGAUGCACUAACCGUUGAUCUGGUUCUGCUGAAGCAUAGGGCCAGGAGCCUGCAUGCAGGUGUCUCUUCAACGUUGGGAAUAAGGAAAGUCUUUCAGUAAGAGCCUAACUGAGCAGCAGCAGCAGCAGCAGAAGGGAGAGGGGAAUUCUACCGAGAAGAAUCCGUAAGCUCAGUCAAUUCAGCUUUAUUCUGAGGGCGGGGGCACCACAAGAUUUCAGGAGAGCAUCCUGGUGUGUAUUGAGAAGGAGCUCUGCUGGAGUUUGGGAGAGUUAGAGGAGCUGCCUGCCCACUUGCAAUGUACUGGACCACUUACCAUCGCCCUGCAGUUUCUGCCCAGCAUGGAGUCAGCAGGGAGUGUGUGUGUGUGGGGUAAUCUGUGGUCGACAUCGAAACUAACCUAUGGAGGAUUUUAGAGCCUAUUGAGUUGCUUUGUAUCAGAAUCCUUUCCCCAAGGAAGAGUUCUACUAUGAGCCCUCCUCAGCCUCUGCUUACCGAGUCUGCUUAACUUCCCAUGUUUGCUGUGGAGGGGGCCCAGGGUAGUUGCAGUCUAUUCAAGUGACCUGCGGGGCUCACAGGCAGGAAGGACAGCAACUCCAGAAAACACAUGUAAGAGAGGAAUCACAUCAGCUACUGAGCAAGUUCCCACAGAGCCUGGACGGGUCUGGCAUCAUCCUGGGGGCAGUUAUCACUGUCCCACACUGAAAACAAGGAAGAGGCACUAAGCCCAGAAAAGACACGGCAGAAAUACAACAGUGACUAUAGAUUAAGUAGUAUUUUCCUGUCGCCUUUGAGUUUCAGUUUAAUAUUUACAUGUUUGCUAACAUUUAAAACUGCACCUCCUAGAAUAUUGAUUCAACUAACUGAGCUCUUAAAUCUUCCUACUCCACCACUGUAAAGAGCUUUUUUUUGUUGUUCUUCAUUUUAUAAUCUAUGUCUUAGUCCAUCUUCUUUUACUGUAGCUGAAUACCAUAACAUCUACAAAGAACAGGUUGAUUCAGUUCACAGUU